rnacentral:rRNA from 1 species
GCUCUCGCAUCGAUGAAGAACGUAGCGAAAUGCGAUACGUGGUGUGAAUUGCAGGAUCCCGUGAACCAUCGAGUUUUUGAACGCAAGUUGCGCCCGAAGCCAUUCGGCUGAGGGCACGUCUGCCUGGGCGUCACGCACCGUUGCCGCCCCCCUUACCUUUGUCUAAC